rnacentral:SRP_RNA from 1 species
UGUGCUAUGCUGAUCAGGUGUCUGCUCUGCUCUGAUUUUGGCUUCAAUGUGGUGACCUCCCAGGAGCAGGGGACCACUGGGUUGCCUAAGGAGGGGUAAACCAGCCCAGGUUGGAAAGGGAGCAGGUCAAAACUCCCGAGCUGAUCAGUAGCAGCAUCGCACCUGUGAAUAGUCA